rnacentral:rRNA from 1 species
UACGUAGGGCGCAAGCGUUGUCCGGAAUUAUUGGGCGUAAAGAGCUCGUAGGCGGUUUGUCGCGUCGGCUGUGAAAUCCCGAGGCUCAACCUCGGGCCUGCAGUCGAUACGGGCAAACUAGAGUGUGGUAGGGGAGACUGGAAUUCCUGGUGUAGCGGUGAAAUGCGCAGAUAUCAGGAGGAACACCGGCGGCGAAGGCGGGUCUCUGGGCCAUAACUGACGCUGAGGAGCGAAAGCGUGGGGAGCGAACAGG